rnacentral:rRNA from 1 species
CGCCGCGUGAGUGACGAAGGACUUCGGUUCGUAAAGCUCUGUUGCAAGGGAAUAAAAAAAUGAAUGUACUUUGCGAGAAAGGGUCGGCUAACUUCGUGC